GCGAACGCAAGUUGACCCGUGUUUCUGCGCUCGAGCGCGCCCGUUUUGCUCGCGAUUCCAUUCCCCAUCCCCGCUGGUAGCGUCUGAAGUCAGACUUCACACCGAGUCACUGCCGUUCUGUGAAUCGGAGUAUUGCAUUCUUGUGUGUCGCGUCCCAUCACGAAGCGCAGUGCCCGUGCGUGUCACGCGCGCUGCCGUUCGCGGGCGAGAAGAAAAAGAGUGCGGUGCAAUUCGUGCCGAUACAUACGUAAGGUUGAGGCGAGGUGGUAUGAUGGUCUGAUCGCGGUCUCAACAUGACCGUGGAUUUUGUCGACUACUUUUGGGGCGAAAAGAAUAAUGGAUUUGACGUGUUGUAUCAUAACAUGAAGCAUGGUGUAAUCGCCAGCAAGGAAUUGGCUGAAUUUUUGCGAGAAAGAUCAGCCAUAGAGGAAAACAAUUAUAAACUUCUUAGUAAGGUAGCGAAACAGGCGAGCAAUAGCACGCAAGGGACAUUCGCACCUGUCUGGGCUGCUCUGAGAGGUGCCGCCGAAAAACUCGCCGUUUUACACUUUCAAAUGGCCCAGCGAGUGUCCGAACUCAUAAAAGAUGUGUCAAAAUAUGCGGACGAAUUACACAAGAAACAUAAGGCUGUGAAGGAAGAAGAAUCGUCUACUUUAGAAGUUGUACAAAGUAUACAAAGCAUUACGGUAACGUUACAUAAGGCGAAAGACAUGUGUAUGCAAAAACGCCUGGAAUUAGAAAAAUUAAGGAAGGACAAUGCCAGUCAAAGGGAGCUGGAGAAGGCGGAAGGCAAGUUCAAAAAGGCACAAGAUGAUUAUAGGACGCUGGUGGACAAGUACACGGUCAUACGAAACGACUUCGAGGCAAAAAUGACUCAAGCUUGCAGGCGGUUCCAAGAUGUAGAAGAGACGCAUCUGAAGCACAUGAAGGAAUUUCUGAAUACAUACGCUGACGUUUUGCAAACCAAUCACGAGCAAGUUGGCCAGGUUCAUAUCGACUUCAAACGACAAUGCGUUGAUAUGACGGUGGAGAAGUUAUUAGAGCAAUUCGUUCAAAGUAAAUACACGGGUUUCGAAAAACCAGGUGUGAUUGAGUACGAAGAAGUGAUGACGAGUUUAGCGGAAAUGACCAGCCACUCUCAGUCAGAAGGCAGCGUAGAGACACCUAAGGAAACGUCGAAGAGCACCAAUGGCGAAACAGGCGUAGCCGGUAACAGUCACAGUUCAAAGAAAGAUCAGGGAUUAAAGGGGGAGGGUAGUACUUUGAGGGUACUGGACGGGGAAAGGGGGAGGGUGAUAUUGGAAAAGGAUAGAGAAAAAGAAAAACAGAAGGAAAAGGACAGAGAACUGUCACAUGCACAAACCACCAAGGCUUCCCGCCGUACUACCUCGCUACUCAACCUGUUCAUGUCCAACUCCCAUGGGUUUCUACGCAGUAGGAGAGAAAAACGAAAGGAGAAGAAGGCGAAGAAGAAGAAGGAUCUCAUGGACACAAGCAGCAAUAAAGAAGAAAAGUCUGACCUGGAGGACAAAGAAGACAGCAGAAAAUCAGAAACGCCGACACCAGAGGUGGACGAAGAUGGUUUUUGUAUUAGACCGAAGCCGGAUCCAUGGGAAAAUGAAAAGGGAUUUUAUUCCAGUUCGGAUACUGAUUCGGAAGAUGAGAGAGAACGUAAAAUACGAGUGGAAAUAAAGCCUCUUAGCAAUGGUGGUGCACCCAUGAGCGCUAGUGUAGACGAAUUGAGGGCGACAGUGGAAAAUUUAUCUUUAUCACCUGCACCAACAGGACGUAGAGGAUCAAAUACUGAUUCCGAUCAUCAUAUGAAAAGGUCUCAGUCAGUGUCACAGCAAUUAGGAGGUAAGCCAAGCUCAGAUUUACUUGGCCUAAACUUGUUCAAUCCUAGCAGUACGCCAUCGAGCGCGUCGACACCGACCGGUAGCCACCCUUACGCCCCGCUGCAGAGUCCACCGCCACUUUCCACAUCGCCGACUCCGUCGCAGCCGCCGCCGCCACAAUCUGCACCGCCUACACAUUCUCAUACCCGAUUUCCAGAUGGGGAUUUAUUUUCGGAAGUUGGAGACAUCACACCGGCCUUGCCACCCAAGCAAUCCGCAUCCUCAACGCCGACGGGAUCGAUCGUAAUACCCAGACCGCCAUCGCGCCGAGGAGAAGGUCCAUCACCACGCGGUAGAAUGUCACCUGCGACGAUAUCUCGGGCUGAUAGCGUCGCUAGCCUGGAAUUUCGCACUGCUGGUGUGGGCGUGGGAUCUUCGCGGGGACCAUCUCCACUCACGAUCGGCCUAGCGGACACCAUUCCGUUGGCAGUCGCUUUCCAUGAGAUAGUGCAUUCCUAUUUCCGUGGUACGGAUGAAACCCGAUGUCAAGUAAAACUAAGCGGUGACAUGAUGCUCUCCUUUCCGGCUGGCAUUGUCACAGUCCUAGCAAAUAAUCCCAGUCCUGCCAAGCUGACCUUCCGCGUGAGGAACACCAAUAGGUUAGAGAGACUGUUGCCAAACAGCCAACUUAUCAGCAUGGACGCAACUCAAACUACCGUCGAUAGUACAAUCUUCGAAUUCAACAUGAGUGCCUUAACUAUGUUGCUUCGGCGGCAAGCUGAACAGAAUCCCUCGGCCUCGUAUUUCAAUGUAGACAUCCUCAAAUAUCAAAUCAAAUGCAAGGAAGGUGCUGGUUCAUGUCCUUUUCAAUUAGUCGCAUAUUGGAAAUGUGAAACAACCCACACCGAUCUCAAGAUCGAUUAUAAGUAUAACAGUCGCGCCAUGGCCUCGCCGAGCCCUCUACUGAAUCUCCAUGUUGCUGCGCCUAUUGAUGGCGGUUUUAAAUCGUUCAAUAGUAAACCAUUGGCACAGUGGCUGCCCGACACGAAUCGCGUACUAUGGAAAUUUACGGAGCUUUCGCAACAUAGCGAGGGUAACGGAGUUGGAUCCUUGAAAGCGCGAGUCGAGCUCGAACGCGGCCCGGGCAAUCAGGGCACGAUAUUUACACAGUUCAAUUGCGAAGGGACCACAUUGUCGGGUGUCGAAUUUGAGCUUAUAGGAUCUGGAUAUCGGUUGAGUUUGGUGAAGCGAAAAUUUGUGUCUGGAAAAUACAUAUGCGACGGAGACUUGGAUUCGCGUUCAAGGUACGCCGCACCGCCAUCUAAUGCAGAUUGACGACUUCCAGAAUGGGCGCCUCAAUGGGAGAGCCAGCCCAUUUAAUAUUGGUAGAAGCAUAUUACACGUGGUGAACGAGCCUUUCGGCAAGAGAUUCUGGCACGUACUAAUUUUUAGUUCAUUUUUAGUUCAUUUUUAUGCGCGCGAAGAUGAUAAUAUUAAGUAAGCUGUACGAUAAAACGCGAGUAAAAACUGUUUAACUGGUGGGGAAAUAACGAGAGACAGCGAGAAGCGAUAGCAAGAGAAAUAGAGAUAAAGAGUUUAAAUCAACGAUACUUUUUUAAACAUUAGCACAUGUUGAAUGCGAAACGAAUCAAAUACGAUUCUGUAUUUUUGAACGUUUAAAUGUUAAAACACAAUUUUGACGUCGAUAACAGAAUUUUAGCUUUAGGUAUAGCUAACGGCGAACAAGGAAAGUCGUUUAUCUAAAUGUUUUAAAUUGAGAUUCUUAGUAUUAUACGUAAAAUGCUGAAAGUUUCGUACCUAUUGCGAUUGUGGCGCGUUCCGUUUUCGCCUGUGAAAGCGUAUUCUCGUUAUAGUUAUAUCACACUUGUUCACACAUCACAUCCACAAUUGCCUCCUCUUCGGUUUUCGGCCAGAGUCAAAUCCUGAUGAUCUUUUUAAGUGCGCAUCAAUGAUGACAACUUUUUUCUUUAGAAAAAGUACCAUAAGAAAAUAAUUUUGAGAUAGCAACUGAUCUCUGACAAAAGGACUGUUAAUUUUCAAUAUCAAAAGGUGGCAAUCGUGAUCACAUUUAUUGCUUUAUACAAAUUGAUUGAUUUGAUCAAUUAUAUUACGAGGUAUCACGGACUAAUGUUAAGACAUUUUAUACAAGAUAUUGAUUCUCAAUAAGUAAGUCAAUUUCCUAAAGGCAUUAUUAAACAGUCGAUUUAUUUGUGUCACUACUUUUUUUAUCUUGGUAUUGAUCAUUUGCCAAUCAAUUAAAAAUUAAU